AUCUUGUUCACUGGAGAGGCCUCAUCCUGGUUACCAGCCUCGCUAAAUCUUUUCAAAUGUAGUCGUGGUCUUUUUCAUGUGCAAUACACACUUUCAGACAUGGAAGGUAUGUUAGGGAGAGAAAUGCAAAAGUCCAAUUUGAAACUUUCUUAUGUAGAAGUAGGGAUGAAGGAAGAAUUCAAUUCAGUUCACAUUUAAAGCUGAAUCUGUCAAAUUCACACUUUCUUAAACAAUAUGAGAAUUGAAACACAGUCAGCUUUCAAAAUUUCCACACCUGAAUUUUGUGAUGCAGUUCUUUGACCAGUGUUUACAAAAAUGCUUAUGUUAGGGGAAAGCGUGCCUAAAAGUGAACACUUUAGUGAAAAUUGUUACGAUAUGAAUGCAACGCAGCUGCAAACCAGCUCGAUGUUUAUGUCACAUGAUGAUGUAUAUAGAAAUGCAUUGUAUUUGGAUAAAUUACUUGCAAAAAUGUGUACAUCAGUCAAAACGGCAAAAAAUGUGUUUAUUAGUUUAAAAAUCACACUAAACUGCUGAAGAAUUUUCAUGAUGAUCUUUUUUUAAAAGAACAAAAACUUUUUUUGCAAUUGCUGCAAAAAUGUGGCAAUCUGAAUUUAAGAUUGGAAAAAUGAGAAAUGGAGAGAUCCAAAAAUGACAGGUCUUUCCAUUUCAACCUGCAAGUCCCACUGAAUCAAUUGAAGCUUUGCUCAAUUCUAAAUGCAAUAUUUUCCUGCAAUCAUUUCACCAAGAUUUAUAUAGAAAGCACUUCUCCAAGUAGGUUGUGUAUUUUAAAUGCCCCCCCCCCCACGAUUUAGACUACAAUAUUGUUUGUUUAUGCCUAACAUGUUAAGAAAUUGUAAGAAGUGGCUAAUGAUAUUCUCUUUAGAUUUAUGCUAAUCUUUUCUCUAAUCUGCACCGCAAGAAACCAUCAAAGAUCUGCAAUUGGAUUACUCAGAUACAGUGCCUUGGUAACUUAACUUUCAUAAUUCCAGUAUGUAGAUUAUGCAGGUUUGUAUUUAUUUGUUUAAUUAGCAUACUUUACAUAUUUUAGUGCUGUUGUCUUUAACAAGGAUUUUGAAUGCAGGUAUGGAUAAGACACCUGCAAGCUCUACGCUCUGGUCGCUGAAAAUCUAGUUGAGCUACUUUUGAUUUGCCAAGAUUUCACAAUACAUUUUCAAGUUUUCUCCAGGGUCAAAAGAAACAGCAACUUGCAUUUAAAUGCUUCAGGCUGAUCUAGGAUCUCUACAAGUAUUUCAGCAAACUGGAAUGAAGAUUUCCAUUUAGUUUUUAGCAGGCAUCUGUCUCGUUUUAUUUAUUCAGAUUUCCUCCUCCAGGGAUUAAAAAUAAACACACUACACAAUGCAAGUUAUGCUUAUUAGCCCUAUUCAGUAUUCUUCCCUCCAGCUCUUCCUUAUAGGAGUCUUACUGAUAAACCUUGGUGUGAAAUUAAUUGAUAACCUCCCUCCCCCUUUAAAGAUGUUUCUUAGGGCACAUCCAAACCCACCUGCAAAAAAAAUGGAUUUACUGUGAUUCAGAAAUGUUGGGGAAAUGUACUGGCAAGUGUAGGAUUGGAUGUAAUGUCAUGUACUCUUCCUGCCAACAAAUCAGAAAGAAUGUUCAACAAAUAGCCAACGUGGUCCAAUCUUCCCUGCCAACAAAUCUUGCAGAAUGCUCAAUAAACAGGUAAUCUGGCAGUAUUCUCAUAGUUUAGCAGGAAAGGAAAAUAAACCAGAGUUAUGUGAUCUACACAGAGCUAGGAAGUAUUCGUGGAAAAUGGGAAGUGAGGGCAUUGCCCACAUGCUCAGCUGUUUGCACAUGCCUAAAUCAUCUUCAGUGAGUGAAGGUCGCUGAUAGAUCAUAGAUUGCAUAAAUAAAGAGCUGUGGGGUCAGUCUUGACAUGUAUUGAACCUUCAGAUUAUAGCCCCUGGAGGUCUGUAAAAUGACCUCAAGCUCCUGCACCCUCAUUUAUGCUGCUCUGUUAUGGGGUAAUGCAAUUGCACCUUGAAAGAAUUCAAUUUCGGGAGAUGGAAUGUGCACUUCUUUAAGUGGCUUCUGACCUCCUUAAUGGAGUCUACAUAUGCUGAACAGGAGAUGCUCCCAGAACGACUGCCAACAGUAGGAGCUAAGGCUGAUUGACAUUCUGUUGCUUAAUACCACCUGCCUCGUGCUCUUUUUAGUUCUGCAUCAAUGGUAGGCAAUGCCUGCUUUUGAAAUGCCAUAUAUUUAAAUAAGUCAUCAUUCGCAAAUAAAUGCUGAGCAUUUAUUAUGAUCAUUUUCAUCUUUGAGAAAGAUAACAACCUUUGCAGGAGCAGCAGACGUAUUUAAGAUUGCUCCUUUGUUAUUUUAUGCUUCUUUAUAUAUGCACUCCAGUUCAGAGCACCCUGGCCCUGACUGGUGGAUGUUGUACUCAGACUUCCAUCUUGGUUUUUGCCAAAGUCUUUAAUGUGAAGGUCAGUAUGAUACAUAAAUCCGGCUUCAAAGCAUUCAGAUUCCAGGUGUCACAAUGGUCUAAGUUCAUGGCUAGGCAUAAGCUAAGAAAACAUUGUCCCAACACUAGACUUGUCUCCAAAGCUCUCCUUUUGAAUACCGGGGGGGGGGGCAGCCAUUUAUAGAAUCCUAGAACUGUAGAGAUGGAAGAAAACCCAAAGGUCAUCUACCCCAACUCCCUGCAAUGCAGGAAUUUGCAUGGUUGACGUCCCGAGCCACGGAAUGGGGCAAGCAAGUGGGCGUUUCUCCAGGUAGGCUGAGUCUGUUUCUGCCAACACAGUUUUAUAAACAUCCAUGGUGUUGUAAGCAAAGUCAGUUGGGCCAGCUCACUAUCUGAUCCAGGCCCAUGCAGAGCUUGUUUGAAGUCCAGGACGGGAAUCAUGUUAGAAUAAAGUUAUAAACUCAAAGCAGCCGGUCCCUAGAGGGACGCCCCCCCCUCCCCAGCCAGCUUAGCCCUUCAAGGCCUGGGGAAAGUGAACCCAUCUGCCCCCCCCCGCCCUUCUGCAUGGGCCUGGUCUGAUCUGUCCCCAGGCAUUUCCCAGAGAUGGACAGCUCUUUGCUGGUGGGAGGUGGUGACGGAGACACAUGCAGCUGCUAUGGUGAUGUAUAAUUUGGGGUGUUAUACAGUAUUGAAAGCAGAAAAAAUGAACACAAAGCAUCCUUAAUACACAAUAAUAAGGAUGUCUGUAGGGGCCCUAGAUUAGCAAAAGUGGCAAGAAGAACCAUCAAUCAAUAUUCUUCCUUUGGGAUUAAUCUGUCAUCGCAUUUAAUCCCCCUCUAGCUAUUAAUUGAAUAUAAUGUGAUUGUGACCUUUCAUUAACGAAAUUCUGCAAAAUGCUUUGUAAACUAAUUUGCACAUGAAUCUGAUUAAAGCAGAAGCGCUCUACGCAUUUAUCUAGGAACUUACUUCUGAGUAGACAAUUGCAGUUAACCAAUGCAAUUGUAGCAAUGCUAUUAAAGCAAAGUGACAUGGGCUGGGGAAAAUCUUGAUGUCUACAUGCAGCAUUUGAUGUAUAUAACCAUAAUGUCUGUGUAUAAAUUUGCACAGGCUCUUAAUUUGAUUAGUUCCUUGGUAUUCAUUCCAAAGUGAACUGAAGCCAAAGCAUUUGGUCAUAUUUAUCCUGUAUUCCACUUUCCUCCCUCUCACUCACUUUUGUUGUCUUUCCCCCACCUCAAACUAAAUUUAGACUGUAGAUUCCUUGAGUCCUGUGGUACAGAGAGGAGGCCAGAGAUGGAGGCAUGGAUUGCAAGAAAAGAGCUGGUCACGUUAGAGGGUUAGCCCUUUAAGACUGACUCCAGCUUCAAAGGCUGUCCAGCUACUGACUACAGCUACAAAGACUGACUCCAGCUACGAAAGCUGUUUCCGCUGCUCAUGAUGCCUAGAGACUCUCAGAGUGUGAUAUUGAUUAGGAAUUGUUGCUGGUGGUCAAGAAUUUGUUUUGGAGCUGCAUUAUUUUUUGCCAUUAUCAGGAUUAUGU